UACGUAGGGGGCUAGCGUUGUCCGGAAUCAUUGGGCGUAAAGCGCGUGUAGGCGGUCCGGUAAGUCCGCUGUGAAAGUCGGGGGCUCAACCCUCGAAUGCCGGUGGAUACUGUCGGGCUAGAGUGCGGAGGAGGCGAGUGGAAUUCCUGGUGUAGCGGUGAAAUGCGCAGAUAUCAGGAGGAACACCUAUUGCGAAGGCAGCUCGCUGGGACGUGACUGACGCUGAGACGCGAAAGCGUGGGGAGCAAACAGG
rnacentral:rRNA from 1 species